GUCCAGACUCCUACGGGAGGCAGCAGUGGGGGAUAUUGCACAAUGGGGGAAACCCUGAUGCAGCGACGCCGCGUGGGUGAAGAAGCGCCUCGGUGCGUAAAGCCCUGUCAGCAGGGAAGAAAAUGACGGUACCUGAAGAAGAAGCCCCGGCUAACUACGUGCCAGCAGCCGCGGUAAUACGUAGGGGGCAAGCGUUAUCCGGAUUUACUGGGUGUAAAGGGGGCGCAGACGGCGAUGCAAGCCAGGAGUGAAAGCCCGGGGCCCAACCCCGGGACUGCUCUGGAAACUGUGCGGCUUGAGUGCGGGAGGGGCAGGCGGAAUUCCUAGUGUAGCGGUGAAAUGCGUAGAUAUUAGGAGGAACACCGGCGGCGAAGGCGGCCUGCUGGACCGUAACUGACGUUGAGGCUCGAAAGCGUGGGGAGCAAACAGGAUUAGAUACCCGGGUAC
rnacentral:rRNA from 1 species